AUGUGCAGAACAUCGAGGAAAACUCGAAAAUUAUAUGUGCACUAUAUGUAUUUUCUUAUGCUUACAAGAAUUCUGCACUCAUACUGUUAUGCAUCAGUUCAGGUCGCUUGUGGUGUUUUAGAUAUAUGCAAUUGGAUUACAGCACCAUGCUCUCACCCAAAAGUUAAACCCAUUGCUUUCACUUCUGUAACAUAUAUUUUUGUUUCAGUUUUGCUAAUUCUUUCUCCAAUGGCCUUUAUAUAUUAUCUUUCAUAUGUCUUACUAUAUGAAAAAUGUUGCCUUCAGCAAGAAAUCUUGCUCAGUUUUCUGGUUAAAAAAUAG
rnacentral:rRNA from 1 species